GAUCCUGGCUCAGAUUGAACGCUGGCGGCAGGCCUAACACAUGCAAGUCGAACGGUAACAGGAAGAAGCUUGCUUCUUUGCUGACGAGUGGCGGACGGGUGGGUAAUGUCUGGGAAACUGCCUGAUGGAGGGGGGAUAACUACUGGAAACGGUAGCUAAUACCGCAUAACGUCGCAAGACCAAAGAGGGGGGACCUUCGGGCCUCUUGCCAUCGGAUGUGCCCAGAUGGGAUUAGCUUGUUGGUGGGGUAACGG
rnacentral:rRNA from 1 species